AUGGAAGAGGGUUAUUACAUAAGAUGGAUUCCUAAACAACACUCAAGCUUAUUGGACAAUGAAGGCGGGCACAACAACGAAGCUUGUUCUAGCAGAAAUAGAACAAGAUCAUCUUUCUAUUUCUCGUCAUUUCUGGAGGAGUAUGGAACAAAGGAUAUGUAUGAAACGUUCAAGAAUUAUGUAGAUAUUGAUGAAGUUUUCAUCCCUUUUAAAUGA